rnacentral:rRNA from 1 species
GUCAAAUCAUCAUGCCCCUUAUGGCUUGGGCUACACACGUGCUACAAUGGCGCGAACAAAGGGAUGCGACCCCGCGAGGGCAAGCCAAUCCCAAAAAAUAGCGCCUCAGUUCGGAUUGUAGUCUGCAACUCGACUACAUGAAGCUGGAAUCGCUAGUAAUCGGAGAUCAGCAUGCUCCGGUGAAUACGUUCCCGGGCCUU